UACGGGGGGGGCAAGCGUUGUUCGGAAUUACUGGGCGUAAAGGGCUCGUAGGCGGCCAACUAAGUCAGACGUGAAAUCCCUCGGCUUAACCGGGGAACUGCGUCUGAUACUGGAUGGCUUGAGUUUGGGAGAGGGAUGCGGAAUUCCAGGUGUAGCGGUGAAAUGCGUAGAUAUCUGGAGGAACACCGGUGGCGAAGGCGGCAUCCUGGACCAGCACUGACACUGAGGCACGAAAGCGUGGGGAGCAAACAGG
rnacentral:rRNA from 1 species